rnacentral:rRNA from 1 species
ACUGAACGCUGGCGGCAGGCCUAACACAUGCAAGUCGAGCGGAUGAAGGGAGCUUGCUCCUGGAUUCAGCGGCGGACGGGUGAGUAAUGCCUAGGAAUCUGCCUGGCAGUGGGGGAUAACGUCCGGAAACGGGCGCUAAUACCGCAUACGUCCUGAGGGAGAAAGUGGGGGAUCUUCGGACCUCACGCUAUCAGAUGAGCCUAGGUCGGAUUAGCUAGUUGGUGGGGUAAAGGCCUACCAAGGCGACGAUCCGUAACUGGUCUGAGAGGAUGAUCAGUCACACUGGAACUGAGACACGGUCCAGACUCCUACGGGAGGCAGCAGUGGGGAAUAUUGGACAAUGGGCGAAAGCCUGAUCCAGCCAUGCCGCGUGUGUGAAGAAGGUCUUCGGAUUGUAAAGCACUUUAAGUUGGGAGGAAGAGCAGUAAGUUAAUACCUUGCUGUUUUGACGUUACCAACAGAAUAAGCACCGGCUAACUUCGUG